CGGCGUUAGAGGUGAAAUUCUUGGACCGCAGCGAGACGAACUACAGCGAAAGCAUUUGCCAAGAAGGUCUUCAUUAAUCAAGAACGAAAGUCAGAGGUUCGAAGGCGAUCAGAUACCGCCCUAGUUCUGACCGUAAACGAUGCCAACUAGCGAUCUGCCGGCGGAAUUUUCGCCCUGGUAGGGAGCUUCCCGGAAACGAAAGUCUUCCGGUUCCGGGGGAAGUAUGGUUGCAAAGYGUGAAACUUAAAGGAAUUGACGGAAGGGCACCACCAGGAGUGGAGCCUGCGGCUUAAUUUGACUCAACACGGGGAAACUCACCCGGCCCGGACACCAUAAGGAUUGACAGAUUGAUAGCUUUUUCAUGAUUUGGUGGAUGGUGGUGCAUGGCCGUUCUUAGUUCGUGGAGCGAUUUGUCUGGUUUAUUCCGAUAACGAGCGAGACUCUAGCCUACUAAAUAGUCUGCACAUUGCUUCUGUGAUGCAG
rnacentral:rRNA from 1 species